rfam:Trichomonas vaginalis G3, whole genome shotgun sequence.
AGGGGCUUAGCUCAAUGGUAGAGCGCAGAUCAAAUCUUUCAGCAUUGAUUGUAAGAUAUCUUACAUCUGCUUAUAGGUAUAUAUUCCUGAAAUCUUGGUUCAAUUCCAAGAGCUCCUA